GGAAACGGAUGCUAAUACCCCAUAGGUGGAUUGGUCGCAUGGCGAAUUCAUUAAAGGUGGCUUUGCUACCACUCAUGGAUAGCCUCGCGGCGUAUUAGCUAGUUGGUAAGGUAAUGGCUUACCAAGGCAGUGAUACGUAGCCGACUUGAGAGGGUGAUCGGCCACAUUGGGACUGAGAUACGGCCCAG
rnacentral:rRNA from 1 species